GCCGCCGUCCGUGUCGACCACCUGGAGUCGCUCAGGCCGACCGAAGCGCCCAGGCAGGCCUCCGCUCGACCGCGCCGUCGUCCACCCAUCGUUCCGCAUCUCGCCGAGACCCCACGAAUGCGAUCACUAUCGGAGAAGAAUGAGAGGAUCUCGGUGAGGAUCUCGAAGAGGAAGGAAGAGCAGAGGUUCAUGAAGAAGAAGUCCAGGGACAAAUAGCCAACCAAGGCAAGCCACCUCUUGACGCAUACCUUGUCCUAAAUAUCUUGCUCUUGCAUUAUCAUAAGUUCUUAUAAAA